AUAAAUUAUCAAUAUCUUAGUAGUUGUUUAUUUUUUUAUAUCUUUAUUUUAUUUUUAUGUGGUGCUGAGGAUAGAACCCAUGCCUCACACAUACCUUUGAGCCACAACCCCAGCCUUCUUAGUAGGUUUUUUAAUAUGCCAAUUUAGUAUGAAUACUGUACUAAAAAAGCAUGAAUAACUGUUAUUGCUUAGAUUUCACUAAAAUGAAUAAUAUUUUCCUGGCAAGAUGAAAUUUAGAGUUUCUAAUAUAUUUUAUUUACAUAAAUUCAACCAUCUUCUAAUUUAUCCAGAGCUUAUGUGGAUGCCCGUGUUCAGCCAAUCUAUGGUGGUACCAAUGAAAUAAUGAGGGAGCUGAUUGCAAGAGAUAUCGUCAGUGACAAGUAGACAUCUGCCCACAUCCUGGAAUCCUAUUACAGCUAAUCUGGUUUUAAAUCUACUUAAGAUAAAAUGAAACCUGGAAGGAGGGGAAAUGCUAAAUAUGUUUUUUAUGUGCCUUCUGUGUAGAGAAAGAAAUCAAAUAUAAAUACAAUAUUAACAGUGGAAGGAGAAAUAUCUGAAUCCAAAGAGUAAAAUUCUCCUGUGAAGGUUUUACUUUUAAGUUUUUAUAUUGUUAAAGGUCAAAAUUUUUCUGACUCUAGAAGCCUUAAUGUUUCAUUUAUCUCUACAAUUUUUAAAAGCAUAAAUUGCUUAAAUCCCUAAAAUUGAGGCAGAAUUAAUUUACAUAUGAUAUACUACUUUAAAAGCAUUAAUAUUACUUCACAGUACAUGGACUUUUAAAGGGAAAAAUAAAUCUAACUUAGACUAUGAAGACAUUUCAGCUACCUUUUGCUCCAGAUUCUCUGGAAUAUUGGUUCCUACCAUGCUACCAUCAAGUUCUUUUUAAGCAACCCUUCUUGGAAACAGAUCAUCACAUUGUACCCUAUAAAUAUGUCCAGUCAUUGUGUAUCAAUUAAAAAUAAAGUGAAACUUUAAAAAGAAAACAAACUUUGUGUAGAAUGUCUCUUGGAAAGCCCUUAGUGAGGAGCUGCUCUGGUUAAAGCAGGAAGCCCU
rnacentral:lncRNA from 1 species